AUGAUGUGAUGGGGACACUUUCUCAAAAAUUCUUUAACCCUCUCCCAUGCAUCAUAUAAUUAUUCCUCAUCAUGUGAGAAUAAGUUAUUGAUCUCUCCUCUUAACCU